UCCGUCCCUGCUAUCCCGCGCCCUCCCGGGUCUGUCCCAGCCCAGUUUUCCUCCUGCUCCGUCGGUUGUGUUCGGCACCCCUCCGCCGCAGAUGAACCCCGCCGCCCAACCCCGACAGUUUGCCUCAGGUCCUAGAGCUUUACCACAACAGGGAGGAUUCAGGUCACUGCAGG